CCUACGGGAGGCUGCAGUGGGGAAUAUUGGACAAUGGGGGGAACCCUGAUCCAGCCAUGCCGCGUGUGUGAAGAAGGCCCUCGGGUUGUAAAGCACUUUCAGUGAGGAAGAACGCCUGGUGGUUAAUACCCAUCAGGAAAGACAUCACUCACAGAAGAAGCACCGGCUAACUCCGUGCCAGCAGCCGCGGUAAUACGGAGGGUGCGAGCGUUAAUCGGAAUUACUGGGCGUAAAGCGCGCGUAGGUGGCUUGAUAAGCCGGUUGUGAAAGCCCCGGGCUCAACCUGGGAACGGCAUCCGGAACUGUCAAGCUAGAGUGCAGGAGAGGAAGGUAGAAUUCCCGGUGUAGCGGUGAAAUGCGUAGAGAUCGGGAGGAAUACCAGUGGCGAAGGCGGCCGUCUGGACUGACACUGACACUGAGGUGCGAAAGCGUGGGUAGCAAACAGGAUUAGAUACCCUGGUAGUC
rnacentral:rRNA from 1 species